GAUGAGCGCUGGCGGCGUGCCUAAUACAUGCAAGUCGAGCGAACGGACGAGAAGCUUGCUUCUCUGAUGUUAGCGGCGGACGGGUGAGUAACACGUGGAUAACCUACCUAUAAGACUGGGAUAACUUCGGGAAACCGGAGCUAAUACCGGAUAAUAUUUUGAACCGCAUGGUUCAAAAGUGAAAGACGGUCUUGCUGUCACUUAUAGAUGGAUCCGCGCUGCAUUAGCUAGUUGGUAAGGUAACGGCUUACCAAGGCAACGAUGCAUAGCCGACCUGAGAGGGUGAUCGGCCACACUGGAACUGAGACACGGUCCAGACUCCUACGGGAGGCAGCAGUAGGGAAUCUUCCGCAAUGGGCGAAAGCCUGACGGAGCAACGCCGCGUGAGUGAUGAAGGUCUUCGGAUCGUAAAACUCUGUUAUUAGGGAAGAACAUAUGUGUAAGUAACUGUGCACAUCUUGACGGUACCGAAUCAGAAAGCCACGGCUAACUACGUG
rnacentral:rRNA from 1 species